rnacentral:rRNA from 1 species
UACGAAGGGGGCGAGCGUUGUUCGGAAUUACUGGGCGUAAAGGGCGCGCAGGCGGCGCGAGAAGUCAGGCGUGAAAGCCCCGGGCUCAACCUGGGAAUUGCGCUUGAUACUCUUGUGCUGGAGUUCGGGAGAGGAGAGUGGAAUUCCCAGUGUAGAGGUGAAAUUCGUAGAUAUUGGGAAGAACACCGGUGGCGAAGGCGGCUCACUGGCUCGAUUACUGACGCUCAGGCGCGAUAGCGUGGGGAUCAAACAGG